GUCUGGGUCUCCUGAUAUAAUGGUAUGCCACUGCACAGCCGUCAAAUUUUCAAAAAAAGAUUUGAUCACAGGAUAAAUAUGUGCUGCUGUGAUUUCCUCAAUGUCCUCAGUAUUUAAGUAUUUGUCUUCCAUUUUUUAUAAAUUUUGUGGGAUGAGUUAAAUGAUAAUUUGGUAUGUUUUGAGUUGAACGCGUCUGAAAUGCACCUUCCACUGUGAAAGCAUGUAAAAAGUAAGCAGGACUGUUGUAUUUAAGGGGUUUGGAGCUGGCGACGUCAAAGGAAAGUUCAAAGGUUCAAAGGCAAGCCCAUGACGUCACCGGAAAUUACUGUUCCAUCGGCCCCGCCCCCAGCGACUGCUGCUCCGGAUUUGUUGUUGACAUCGCCAAAAAUGUUCCAAGCGACAGAAAAGCGGAUUAUUUGAAAGUUUUUCAGUUCAACUAAUUAAUUAACUUUACCUGCGGGGCGCGCGACAACGUACUCAGGCAGCAGCUUUAACAUUGCUGUAUGUUGGUGACCACAAUGCAGGAGCAGAGUGAACCAGGACUGCAAACCUGCUCCAUCUUCUCGUCUCUGGAGAUUUCCAUUUACAAAGCACCAACAACUCAAAGGAGCAGAGUGAACCAGGACUGCAAACCUGCUCCAUCUUCUCGUCUCUGGAGAUUUCCAUUUACAAAAUGUCUGUGAAGGUUCUCAGUCAUCCAGGUCAUCGUAGUCAAAGGAGUUUGCAAAGAAAGGCGUCUGGACUUCUUUAAGUUGCUUGAAGACGUUUCACCUCUCAUCCGAGAAGCUUCUCCUCAGUGACAACAACACCUACGAAGCUUUAAAACGAGACCCCACAAGCAGCUACAAAAAGAAAGUUAUAGCUUGCCUUCAAGACCUUGAAAAGGACAAAAUCAUUGACCGCCUCACAUAUCACCGCCUUUAUCCAGGGGAUGCCAUACCCUGCAUUUAUGGACUUCCUAAGAUCCACAAGGAAGGGGUCCCACUCAGACCCAUAGUCAGUAGCAUAAACUCAGCCACUUAUAACAUUGCAAAACACCUUGCUACCAUCCUUGCACCUCUCGUGGGGAACACCCACACCCACAUCAAGAACUCCACUGACUUCACCGACAAGGUCCAGAAACUUACCCUGGAUCCAGAUGAAACCAUGGUGUCCUUUGAUGUAGUCUCUCUCUUCACUUGCAUACCCACCACGGAAGCAGUGGAGACUGUCAGAAAACGACUACAAGAAGACAGCUCCUUGGAAGACAGGACCAACUUCACACCCGAUCAGAUCUGCACACUGUUAGACCUCUGCCUUACCACAACAUACUUCAAAUACAACGAAGGCUUCUACAGACAAAAACAUGGCUGUGCCAUGGGCUCCCCUGUGUCACCUAUUGUAGCCAACCUUUACAUGGAGGAAGUUGAAAGAAAGGCUCUUGGCUCUUUCAAAGGAGGAGCACCCAGCCACUGGUACAGAUAUGUAGAUGACACCUGGGUCAAAAUCAAGACACAAGAAGUGGAAUCCUUCACUGCGCACUUUAACGCCAUGGAUAAAAACAUCAAGUUCACCAGGGAAGACACAAAGGAUAACUGUUUGCCUUUCCUGGACUGCGCUGUGCACAUUGAAGAGAAUGGCAACCUCAACAUUGAAGUUUACCGGAAGCCCACACACACGGACCAGUACCUCCUCUUUGACUCCCAUCACCCUCUGGAACACAAACUUGGAGUAAUUAGGACCCUACACCACCGGGCAGAACUUGUUCCCUCUAAGCCUGAAGAGAAAAAGAAGGAACACACACAUGUAAAGGAAGCACUGAAAACAUGUGGUUAUCCUAACUGGGCGUUCAUAAAGUCAGCAAAGAGGCACAGAAAAGAAGAUCAGACACCAGCGAGGGAGGAUAAGAAAGACAGACGCAACAACAUUGUCAUCCCCUAUGUAGCCGGUGUAUCAGAGAAACUCAGGAGAGUUUUCUCCAAGCAUGACAUCCCAGUGUACUUCAGACCAAGCAACACACUCAGACACAAACUGGUUCACCCGAAAGACAAAACUCCAAAACACAGACUGAACAACGUGGUGUAUGCGGUACAGUGCAGAGAGGAAUGCCCGGACGUCUACAUUGGAGAGACCAAACAGCCACUUCACAAGCGUAUGGCACAACAUAGAAGAGCCACCUCCACAGGACAAGACUCAGCAGUCCAUCUGCAUCUUAAGGAUAAAGGUCACUCUUUCGAGGAUGCCAAUGUUCACAUUUUGGACAGGGAGGACAGAUGGUUUGAAAGAAGAGUGAAAGAGGCCAUCUAUGUCCACUGUGAGCGACCAUCUUUGAACAGAGGCGGUGGUUUACGACACCAACUCUCUGCCAUCUAUAAUCCAGUUUUGAGUUCCCUCCCCAGACGCCUUAACGCCCACUCACAUCCUGGGCCAUCUGACCUCAGGAAUUCACAUGACAAGGUGGGGCCAGGUUUCACAAUGGGCUCACCCGAAACCCUGGCUGAUUAGGUCCCACACCCGCUUUCACACCUUGGCGCAUGUGAUUAGAGGAUCACCAGGGGGUCCUUUGUCCCUCCUUGGGGGGAUACUCCCACUGGGUUUAAAUCUGGGACUCUCGGCCAUUUGACCUUAGAACUGAAGAAGCUUCUCGGAUGAGAGGUGAAACGUCUUCAAGCAACUUAAAGAAGUCCAGACGCCUUUCUUUGCAAACUCCUUUGACUUCCAUUUACAAAGCACCAACAACUCAAAGGAGCUGCCCUCAGAUUCAGACCUCAGCACCACCCAGUGAAAGCAGACAGAUCAUUCAACAUGUUCACGUUAACUCCAAAAUUAACUGAUGAAAGCUGCAGCUGUUUUAUUGAUAAAGUCAAAAGGAUUAAUCACCCCUGUCACUGUCACUAUAUAUCAGCAGUCUGGUGUUUCAGAAAGCUGCUAUCUGAGACCUGUAGAGGUUCUGUUUUAAACACUGAAUGCACUCAGCCACAUGAAGAGCACAUGAGAUUUUCCCUGACACACUUAAAUAAAACCUGAUGAAGGUUAACUAAAAACUGGUGAUCUGGAAUUCUUUCAGUUUUUUUUUUCCUUC
ensembl:lncRNA